rnacentral:rRNA from 1 species
AUUGAACGCUGGCGGCAUGCUUUACACAUGCAAGUCGAACGGUAACAGCACUUCGGUGGCUGACGAGUGGCGAACGGGUGAGUAAUACAUCGGAACGUGCCUAGUAGUGGGGGAUAACUACUCGAAAGAGUAGCUAAUACCGCAUGAGAUCUAAGGAUGAAAGCAGGGGACCUUCGGGCCUUGCGCUACUAGAGCGGCUGAUGGCAGAUUAGGUAGUUGGUGGGAUAAAAGCUUACCAAGCCGACGAUCUGUAGCUGGUCUGAGAGGACAACCAGCCACACUGGGACUGAGACACGGCCCAGACUCCUACGGGAGGCAGCAGUGGGGAAUUUUGGACAAUGGGCGCAAGCCUGAUCCAGCAAUGCCGCGUGCAGGAUGAAGGCCUUCGGGUUGUAAACUGCUUUUGUACGGAACGAAAAGCCCUCUUCUAAUACAGGAGGGUCAUGACGGUACCGUAAGAAUAAGCACCGGCUAACUACGUG